AUGGGGAAAACCCAGUCCAGGCACGCCGCCGCAGCCUUCAAGCGGAGAGAGAGCCCGGAAGGGGACAGUGUCGUGGUGUCUGCGUACACGGGCGGCCGCAGAGGCGCAGAGGAGGUGGGGCGGCGGGGCUGCGCGGAGCACGGCGCCAGGGACAAGCAGGAGCUGCUGGGCGAGGACCCCAGGGAAGGGCCUUUCCACGACGACCAGUGUCCCCUCGAGGUGGUACUGCCUCCUGAGAAGGCCGAGGCCCGCGAGGGGCCAGGACAGCUCUUCUGCUUGGACGAUGGGGAGAGAGCGGCGAGCCGCGAGGGCGCCCGAGGGCUGGGCAAGCGGCGCCUGAACGUGGAUGCGGUCCAGUGCGACGUCUCGGUGGAGGAGGACAGCCACCAGGAGUGGACCUUCACGCUCUACGGCUUUGACAACAGCGGCAAGGCCACCAGAGAGGACAUGUCCAGCCUGAUGCAGACCAUCUGUGAGGCCAUUGACGCCUCGGUCCACCACUGCUCGCGCAGCAGCAAGACCCUCCGUGUGAAGCUGACCGUCAGCCCCGAGCCCUCCAGCAAGAGGAAGGACGGGCCCCCUGCCGCCCAGGACCGCGAGCCCAGUCGCUGCAGGGCGGAGGCGGAGCUCAGUGAGGACCCCAGGGUGGCCGACAGGAGGCUGUCUGCACAUGUCCGGAGGCCCAACGCCGACCCCCAGCCCUGCUUGGAGCGGGGGCCCUACUGCGUGGACGAAAACACGGAGCGGAGGAACCACUACCUGGACCUGGCCGGAGUCGAGAGCUACGCGUCCAGGUUCGGGCCAGGGUCCCCCCCGACGCAGGCCCGGCCGGAGCCCCCCGCCAGGGCCUCGCACCCACAGGGCCCGUCCCGCUCACAGGAGUCAGACGUGCACGCCGCCCACCAUCGCCGCUGCCCGGGGCUGGCCGAGUGCGCCCUGCCGGCCGCUGAGCCGCUGCCCCGGGCCCUGGACCUGCCGCCCCGGGCCCUGGACCUGCCGCCCCGGCCGAAGGGCCCCGAGCGGCCGUUCCUGAGGUCCCCCCAGGGCUCGGGCCGGCCCCCUGGCGUACCCAGCGGGCCCAGGCCUGGGCGGUCCUUCAGCUUCCACCCACCCGCCCCCCUGCCACAGGCGCCCCUGGAGGCCCACCCCCUCCCGCAGCCGCCGCCCCCGCCCUACGGCCACCGGCGGUGCCGGCAGAGGGCGCGGGAGGGCCACUCGCCGCUGAAGGCCGUGCCGGGCCUGCCCGCGGCGCUGGAGCAGGAGCUGCCGCCCGCGCUGCUGGGCGAGGGCUUCGCGGGGCCGGCCGUCCAGCGGCAUGAACACCAUCACCACCACGAACACCAUCACCACCACCAUCACCACCACCACGCGGCCUAGCGCCCUCGGCCCGGCUGCCCUGCUCCGCCACGCAGCCCAGCGCCCCCGGCCCGGCUGCACUCCUCACCACGCGGCCCAGCGCCCCCGGCCCGGCUGUCCUGCUCCGCCACGCGGCCCAGCGCCCCCGGCCCGGCUGCCCUCCUCGCCAGCAGCCCGAGGCCACGCUGUCCCCCAGCUGAGCUUUCUGUGUCGUCCCUAAACAUGCGUUCGCUUCGAGAUGCCUGCCUGCACCCGCUUCUGUCGUGAUUCCAGCGUGAGGCUCAAGGGCAGGAGGGACCUGCCGGCCGCUCCCGGCCUGUUGUUUUCCCCACAGAGCAAGCCCUGGGGGGGGCUUCACUGGGAGGGGGCGCGCGGGUGUGCGAGCCUUCUGGUCGCCCGGGACUGGGUGGACGGGGCCCUUGCAGCUCCUACAGCUCGUCCGUCAUGAAGCCGGGAGGGCGGUCAGGGAGCCCCCGCUGCCCGCAGCUCCAGGGUGUGCGUGGCCUGCAGACGGGGGAGGCGGCUCCCCUUCAGUCGUCCGGGAGCCGAGAGGAG
rnacentral:lncRNA from 1 species